rnacentral:rRNA from 1 species
ACAUGUCUUUGCCGAGCAGUGGAUUGCCCUAGUAACGGCGAGUGAAGCGGCAACAGCUCAAAUUUGAAAUCUGGCUCUCGGGUCCGAAUUGUAAUUUGUAGAGGAUGCUUUUGGCGCGGUGCCUACCGAGUUCCCUGGAACGGGACGCCUUAGAAGGGUGAGAGCCCCGUACGGUUGGACACCAAGCCUCUGUAAAGCUCCUUCGACGAGUCGAGUAGUUUGGGAAUGCUGCUCUAAAUGGGAGGUAAAUUUCUUCUAAAGCUAAAUAUUGGCCAGAGACCGAUAGCGCACAAGUAGAGUGAUCGAAAGAUGAAAAGCACUUUGAAAAGAGGGUUAAAUAGCACGUGAAAUUGUUGAAAGGGAAGCGUUUGCGACCAGACCUUUUCCCGGCGGAUCAUCCGGUGUUCUCACCGGUGCACUUCGCCGGGUUUAGGCCAGCAUCGGUUUUCGUAGGGGGAUAAAAGCUUUGGGAACGUAGCUCCCUCGGGAGUGUUAUAGCCCUUUGCAUAAUACCCUUACGGGGACCGAGGACCGCGCUUUUGCAAGGAUGCUGGCGUAAUGGUCGUCAACGACCCGUCUUGAAACACGGACCAAGGAGUCGAACAUUUGUGCGAGUGUUUGGGUGUUAAACCCUCACGCGUAAUGAAAGUGAACGGAGGUGAGAGCCCUUACGGGUGCAUCAUCGACCGAUCCUGAUGUCUUCGGAUGGAUUUGAGUAAGAGCAUAACUGUUCGGACCCGAAAGAUGGUGAACUAUGCGUGGAUAGGGUGAAGCCAGAGGAAACUCUGGUGGAGGCUCGCAGCGGUUCUGACGUGCAAAUCGAUCGUCAAAUCUGCGCAUGGGGGCGAAAGACUUAUCGAACCAUCUAGUAGCUGGUUACCGCCGAAGUUUCCCUCAGGAUAGCAGUGUUGUUCUUCAGUUUUAUGAGGUAAAGCGAAUGAUUAGGGACUCGGGGGCGCUUUUUUGCCUUCAUCCAUUCUCAAACUUUAAAUAUGUAAGAAGCCCUUGUUACUUAAUUGAACGUGGGCAUUCGAAUGUACCAACACUAGUGGGCCAUUUUUGGUAAGCAGAACUGGCGAUGCGGGAUGAACCGAACGCGGGGUUAAGGUGCCGGAGUGGACGCUCAUCAGACACCACAAAAGGUGUUAGCACAUUUAGACAAUAGGACGGUGGCCAUGGAAGUCGGAAUCCGCUAAGGACUGUGUAACAACUCACCUAUCGAAUGUGCUAGCCCUGAAAAUGGAUGGCGCUCAAGCGUCCCACCCAUACCUCGCCCUCAGGGUAGAAACGAUGCCCUGAGGAGUAGGCGGCCGUGGAGGUUAGUGACGAAGC